CCAAAGGCUCUUUUAAGAGCCAGCCACAAGUUCAAAGAAAAGUGU
rfam:Otolemur garnettii contig059037, whole genome shotgun sequence.